UGGCCUACUGUCAGUUUAAUUCAAUCAUCUCUUUAGUUAGUAUAUCAAAUUUCAUUCGUAUAUUAUGAGAGGUGAUGCCAUCAUUUUAUCUGCCUGUCUCAUUCUGACUAUAGAAUUUGAGCAACUUCACCAUUCUUCGUUCUUGUUUUGAUGGUCAAAGUUGCUGAAUAAUUGCUUCUUUCCUCCUUUGUGUGUCUUAGGACAAAUACAGCACAAUCUCAGAGUUAACUUAACAUCCAAACUGUUAUUACAUUCUCUGUCCUCAGUUAGUUGGUAGAAUUAUAAUCAGUUAAAAACAGAUUUAAAAAAAAACAGCUUUUACUGAACAUGGAUAUAUAGCAGUGCUACUUUAUAAAAUAAUAGUGUGGCUAAUAUAAUGGCAUUUAUUUAAACAAUUAUUGAGAUUAUUUUUCUCAUCUCUCCUCAUUUUCUGACCUGAGAAAUACAGUUCCAAGUUCACGAGUGAAUGUAAAUGAAGAAACAGGGAAAGCAUUUUAGAAUUUCUUGAAAUCUGGCACCAGGACUGAUUGUACAUAUGUAUAUAUACACUCAUGCAUGUGUGUGCCUAUGUAUGUGUGCAUAUGUGUAUACGUAUGUGUGUAUGAAUAUAUGUAUUUAAUCAUCAUGGGCUGGUAUAUCUGGUUAGAACAAAGUACAAGUAAACCCCAAGUAAUGAGUAAGAUUCCCUCCAGAUCCAGCUAAUUAUUUGAACAUACCCUUUUCAUCACAGCACGUCACUGCUGCAAACAUUGGAAUGCUUUCCCAUGGUUUACUAAACAAAGUACAAAGCUGUCUGACAAUGCAGAUCACAGCAAAGAUCCAAGUGAUGCAUGCCCUUCGGCAGGAUCUUCCCCACCCUGGGUCUCAGUUUUAUCUUCUAGAAAAUACACGUUCAAGAGUGAGAUUUGCAGCUUCCUCCCUGCUCAGACCUCAUGAUUUUGACUGUGAAACCCAUUCAUAUAACUUCAUUAUUCUUAUUCCCAUGUGAGAAGGUAAGUCUAGUAUGAAUGUCAUUUUUGCCCAAACACUCCUGAGCAUUACAUAGACUUAAUUAACGUUUUGCUUCUUCAGAUGUUUUUUCUCAUGUGCAGGCUGUUUACUAAAGGGCCACACAGCAUGUUACCUUCAAUCCGUAGACAUUUCUGGGAGUCAGCUGCGUGCACUGCAGUUGAAGAUGAGAACUAUUGAAUGCUUACCCAGUGCCAGGCCUGUGUCUCCACGCCUCUCGCCUGUCCCCCCUUAGCACCCUAUGAGGUCGACACUGUGGUCACCCUCCCUUGGCAGGUGCAGAGCAGAGGUGAGGAGGGUAAUGACUUGGUUGGCCUGUCUGACUCGGAAGCGCUGUCUUGCUCACCUCCAGUGUGCUGGGACAGCAGCACAGGAACCACCUCAGAGGUGCUCUGGAGAGAGUGACCAGCACCCACCCUUCCAUGCUGCCAGGGGUUCUUCGAUGUGUCCAGUCUUCUCCUCCCAGCUGCGGGCCUCGAGCAUUUAUCUAAAUGUUUCGCCUCCUUCAGACCCUACCUUGCUUUCUCCUCUCCCACUGUGGGUGGGCUGGCCUCCUACCCCCUGAGAAAAUCAAGGACAGUGAGGAGGAGUGCUGUGGACUUCCCCUCUUUAUCUUCAUCAGCUGCACGGGCAGCUGUGCCUUCCUGCUUUGCCCUGGUCUCCUGGUUAUGAAAGCCAAAUCCCCCACGCAGCUGAGUCCCUUUCCCUCCUGCCUUCUUAUGCUCCUGCACUGUCCUCAACUCCUAUCUCUCUUUAUGUUCAGCUGACCCCCCUCAUCCCUACCCUUCGCUUCACACGCCAUUGACAUAGUUGAGCUCACUCCACCUCGAAAAGCCUCUCCCUGAACUCUGAAUAUUCUCUAGCACAUGUGUGUCCACCUCCAUUUGCAGACAGUCCUGUUCUGUGCAGUUUCUUGUUCCUGGCCUUUAGCCCUAGUGAGCCCCUCCUUCAGAUUUUCCUCUCUUAUUUGUCUAUCAAAACAUUCUUCCCCUCAUAACAGGUGCCCCUCCCUCAAUGAGUUCACCAGUGUCAAAACACCUCCCACACCUUGGAGUAACCAUAAGAUUACUUGCUUCUCUCUCCUACUGAACUUUUAGUGUUUUGAGGAUGGAGACCUUGCCAUAGCACGGUUCUACCUUCCAGCAGUACCAGGCACCUGGAGUCCUGGGCCAUAUUCAUUUCAUGCCCCUAUAGAUGCUGAUUAAAGGCCUUUCCCUUCCCAAUCCCCUGCUAAACUCCAACACAUUCUUGCAGACCCAGGUCAAGUCUCUUCUAUGUACCUUCUGAAAACCUACUCAGUGGAAAUCCUUACUAUUAUUACUAACAUCACUUUUUGCACUAUUUGUCCUCUUGAUCUUUCUCUUAGUGGUUUGUGAAGUUUUUAUAUAUUGCUGUUUUUAUGUCUCCAGGACCUGAAACUGUACUAGGUACAUGGUAGGCACUCAACAAAUAUUUAUUGAAUGAAUGGAUCAAUCAACCAAUCAAACUAUGCAAAAUAAAGAGCAUAAGACUGUGAGAGAGGAGACGAAAGCCUGGCUGGGAGGGAAAGGCCAUAAGGAGUAAUAAGAUAGGAAAGUGUUAGGGUGUGUGGGAGAUCACAAAACAGUAUUUUCAGCGGUCUCCGUUGAGAGUUGACAUCUGCUUUUCCACCCCUCGAAUCUAGGUUUGGCCUUGCAACAGAUGGACCAACAGAACACUAGGAAACACGAUUCAAGUAGCAUCUUGAAAUGUGAUCCUGCAUUGGGGGUCCCCUCUCUUCACUGCACCCGGAACUUCCUCCAAGAAACAGUGGUCUGUGUGGGCACAAAUGAGCUACAGCACGUAUAAGUCAAUGGGAAGAAAGGAAAUGCUCACUAUGCUAGAAGUGACAGUAGAAACUUCCAUUGUGUGUGACUGGAGAGGCACAAAUGAAGGGCAUCUCCCAAACAGGCUUCAUCUUUUGGGAGUGUGAGAGGAGUGACAGUUUAAGGAGGCUUCACAGGCGUCCAUACAACCACAGGAUGAACAGCCUUUUAGAAGUUACUGUUGCCCUUCCAGGAAGACAAGUUUCAUUGCCUGACCCUUUUGUUUCGCCCCAAACCAUCAGGAUAACUGAAAGCCACUCCAACAUGUUGAUUGGGGUAGCCGAGGAAUGAUGCAGACCAGAGCAUCAGAGUAGGUGACAGGCAUUUGACAGUGGACACCCAAAAAAGGUAAGAGUG
rnacentral:lncRNA from 10 species